rnacentral:tRNA from 1 species
GGAGGGAUGGCCGAGCGGACGAAGGCGGCAGUCUCGAAAACUGUUGAGCCUCAUUUAGGGGUUCCGUGGGUUCGAAUCCCACUCCCUCCG